GAAUAUUGCACAAUGGGCGCAAGCCUGAUGCAGCGACGCCGCGUGAGGGAUGACGGCCUUCGGGUUGUAAACCUCUUUCAGUAGGGAAGAAGCUCUUCGGGGUGACGGUACCUGCAGAAGAAGCGCCGGCUAACUACGUGCCAGCAGCCGCGGUAAUACGUAGGGCGCAAGCGUUGUCCGGAAUUAUUGGGCGUAAAGAGCUCGUAGGCGGUUUGUCGCGUCUGCUGUGAAAACGCGAGGCUUAACCUCGCGCCUGCAGUGGGUACGGGCAGACUAGAGUGCGGUAGGGGAGACUGGAAUUCCUGGUGUAGCGGUGGAAUGCGCAGAUAUCAGGAGGAACACCGGUGGCGAAGGCGGGUCUCUGGGCCGUUACUGACGCUGAGGAGCGAAAGCAUGGGGAGCGAAC
rnacentral:rRNA from 1 species